rnacentral:rRNA from 1 species
UGCAAGUCGAACGCGUUGGCCCAAUUGAUUGAUGGUGCUUGCACCUGAUUGAUUUUGGUCGCCAACGAGUGGCGGACGGGUGAGUAACACGUAGGUAACCUGCCCAGAAGCGGGGGACAACAUUUGGAAACAGAUGCUAAUACCGCAUAACAGCGUUGUUCGCAUGAACAACGCUUAAAAGAUGGCUUCUCGCUAUCACUUCUGGAUGGACCUGCGGUGCAUUAGCUUGUUGGUGGGGUAACGGCCUACCAAGGCGAUGAUGCAUAGCCGAGUUGAGAGACUGAUCGGCCACAAUGGGACUGAGACACGGCCCAUACUCCUACGGGAGGCAGCAGUAGGGAAUCUUCCACAAUGGGCGCAAGCCUGAUGGAGCAACACCGCGUGAGUGAAGAAGGGUUUCGGCUCGUAAAGCUCUGUUGUUAAAGAAGAACACGUAUGAGAGUAACUGUUCAUACGUUGACGGUAUUUAACCAGAAAGUCACGGCUAACUACGUGCCAGCAGCCGCGGUAAUACGUAGGUGGCAAGCGUUAUCCGGAUUUAUUGGGCGUAAAGAGAGUGCAGGCGGUUUUCUAAGUCUGAUGUGAAAGCCUUCGGCUUAACCGGAGAAGUGCAUCGGAAACUGGAUAACUUGAGUGCAGAAGAGGGUAGUGGAACUCCAUGUGUAGCGGUGGAAUGCGUAGAUAUAUGGAAGAACACCAGUGGCGAAGGCGGCUACCUGGUCUGCAACUGACGCUGAGACUCGAAAGCAUGGGUAGCGAACAGGAUUAGAUACCCUGGUAGUCCAUGCCGUAAACGAUGAGUGCUAGGUGUUGGAGGGUUUCCGCCCUUCAGUGCCGGAGCUAACGCAUUAAGCACUCCGCCUGGGGAGUACGACCGCAAGGUUGAAACUCAAAGGAAUUGACGGGGGCCCGCACAAGCGGUGGAGCAUGUGGUUUAAUUCGAAGCUACGCGAAGAACCUUACCAGGUCUUGACAUCUUGCGCCAACCCUAGAGAUAGGGCGUUUCCUUCGGGAACGCAAUGACAGGUGGUGCAUGGUCGUCGUCAGCUCGUGUCGUGAGAUGUUGGGUUAAGUCCCGCAACGAGCGCAACCCUUGUUACUAGUUGCCAGCAUUAAGUUGGGCACUCUAGUGAGACUGCCGGUGACAAACCGGAGGAAGGUGGGGACGACGUCAGAUCAUCAUGCCCCUUAUGACCUGGGCUACACACGUGCUACAAUGGACGGUACAACGAGUCGCGAACUCGCGAGGGCAAGCAAAUCUCUUAAAACCGUUCUCAGUUCGGACUGCAGGCUGCAACUCGCCUGCACGAAGUCGGAAUCGCUAGUAAUCGCGGAUCAGCAUGCCGCGGUGAAUACGUUCCCGGGCCUUGUACACACCGCCCGUCACACCAUGAGAGUUUGUAACACCCAAAGUCGGUGGGGUAACCUUUUAGGAGCCAGCCGCCUAAGG